CACAAAAAUAGACCCUCCUGGAGUAACUCAGCGGGUCAGGCAGCAUACUUAGAGAGCAUGGAAAGGUAAUUGUUUGGGUCGAGACCCUUCU